GGGCACAUGGCGUAGUUGGUUAUCAUGCUUGCUCAGCAUAUUUCCAAAGAUAUUCCAGUUCUGCGAGUGGUGUUGGGUUCAAUAUCUAAUGUGUCCA